rnacentral:rRNA from 1 species
AUUGAACGCUGGCGGCAGGCCUAACACAUGCAAGUCGAGCGGAUGAAGGGAGCUCGCUCCUGGAUUCAGCGGCGGACGGGUGAGUAAUGCCUAGGAAUCUGCCUGGUAGUGGGGGAUAACGUCCGGAAACGGGCGCUAAUACCGCAUACGUCCUGAGGGAGAAAGUGGGGGAUCUUCGGACCUCACGCUAUCAGAUGAGCCUAGGUCGGAUUAGCUAGUUGGUGGGGUAAAGGCCUACCAAGGCGACGAUCCGUAACUGGUCUGAGAGGAUGAUCAGUCACACUGGAACUGAGACACGGUCCAGACUCCUACGGGAGGCAGCAGUGGGGAAUAUUGGACAAUGGGCGAAAGCCUGAUCAAGCCAUGCCGCGUGUGUGAAGAAGGUCUUCGGAUUGUAAAGCACUUUAAGUUGGGAGGAAGGGCAGUAAGUUAAUACCUUGCUGUUUUGACGUUACCAAAAGAAUAAGCAACGGCUAACUUCGUG